rnacentral:rRNA from 1 species
GACAGAGGGGGCAAGCGUUGCUCGGAAUCACUGGGCGUAAAGGGCGCGUAGGCGGGAUGGCAAGUCGGUCGUGAAAUCCUUCGGCUCAACCGAAGAACGUCGGCCGAUACUGCCGUUCUUGAGGGAUGCAGAGGAGAUUGGAAUUCCCGGUGUAGCGGUGAAAUGUGUAGAGAUCGGGAGGAACACCGGUGGCGAAGGCGGGUCUCUGGGCAUCUCCUGACGCUGAGGCGCGAAAGCGUGGGUAGCAAACGGG